GGGCGGCCAAGAUUAGAUGGUAGCUACCUCUUCAGCUAGGAAGAACUCGGACCGUUGAUCUCGCGAUAUACGGUAGAAAUCCGAUCGCGGGUUCAUUAAAACGUGACCGUCGGAUUCAGAUCCUGGGACUAUGGCUGCAUACCGGUUCGGUUUUAGGCGAUCUAAUCUAGGCCAUAGACUUUAGAUCGUGCGGCUCACAUUAGAUCUUACCUCUUCGCGGGUGCUAUUUGCUAAAGAGCCCUCGGGCUUUGGUCAAAUCAACCCGCCGUCCUGUGCGGGUGUAGCCUGAGUCUUAGGUUUAUUUGCGCCAAGCCCCCUGCGGUUUUCUGAAAAUGAGGACCAGUCCAGAGAGUUAUAAAAUCAUAGAAAAUGAUUUAGAAAAUGAUUUUUAGUGUUAAAAUAAAUCCAGAAACUUAAUUAAUUCAUAACUAAUUCAUUUUAGCUCCAAAUUGAGUCAUUCCAAUUCCAAAAAUUUUGUAAUAAUAUUCUCUACCAUUUAGAAUCACUGUUUUGACAUGAACUCUGCCAGAAAAUUUAUUUAUCAUUUAAUCAUAUUAUAAUCACCUAAAAUCUUAGGUAAUUCAUAAGUUGAAUUCUACAACUCCAAAAUUAAUAAUUCUUUUUCCUGUGAUCUUAUUUUUAUGUGUAGAUUAUUAUUAUGUAUUUUGUUUACUUGUUGGUGUGAUGUUAAAUUCUGCCUACACUGUUUGUUUGUAUUACUACGACUAGCAGUGAGGUCACGUAUCAUCUGAAGAUCAUCCUGGUACCUGGAUUCUCAAGGCCCAGGCAAGUUGUGCCCUUGAUCACUUCUUUUCACCUACUCAUGUUCUAAUUAAUCAUAAUGAUCUGCAUAGGUUAAUUUUGAUGGGACCCAAUAGGUUACCUAGUUUGAUUAUCUUUAUACCUUGUUCACCACUGAACUUUCUGGGUAGUACUUGCUAGUGCUAUAUGUGGUUUUGGGUAUGAAGAUUACACUAUUCAUGAUUAUACUUUUGUUAUCAGUUGUUAUUUAUGGUUCAUGUUAAGAUCAUUAUGUUAAUUGGAACAUGGAGAACCACCCGGGAAAACAGUGCUACCACAAGGGUUUAAUGGGACGCCCUUGGCUGAUUAAUUAGGAAAGCUAGUGGAAGACUACCUUACCCGAAAGGGGCAAGGGCAGUAGGGGAGAGGUCAGUGCGGGAAGUGCCCUCGGGAGGAUUUUGCUGCGAUGGCGGUCCUGCAAGGGAUUCCUGUACUGGAUCUUCCUAUAAACUGUAGCGGGUUUUCGGAAGCUAGUGGAACUUUGUAAAGGCCUCGUAGUGGAUCCCUAGCCAUUCACCUCGGAAGUGUCUUAGGGCCUUGCAAACCCUGGCGACAUGGGAUACACGACUUGUGGGUAAAGAUGCGCAACCUCUGCAGAGUGUAAAACUGGUAUACUAGCCGUGCUCACGGUCAUGAGCGGCUCGGACACUCACAUGAUUAAUUUAUGGAACUAAACUCAAUUUGUCAUAUGCAUUGCAUUGCAGGUGAUGUGGUUACUUUUGUUCUACUAUUUAAUUGGGUUGGUAUUUACUUAUACUUAGUAACUGCUAAUAAAAUUUUGACCAACUUUAAAAGCAAUGCUCAGCUCUAACCAUCUUCUUUGGUAAGCCUUACACUUCACGUGAGCUCCCACCUUUGGCGGGUUCAUACACAUUAUUCCCCACAACUUGUUGAGCGAUGAACGUAUGUGAGCUCACUCUUGCUGUCUCACAUACACCACAGGUCAAGACCAGGUACUGCAGGAUGAUGCUCAUGGAGGAUGCUGUGAUGAGUUCGUGAGAGGUCUAGGUCGUCGUCUCCCAGUCAACUUUGGGUUGCUGGACCGUUGUCUCCUUAUAAUGUAAUUAUUUAUUUUGUAUAGAACUCCUGUUAUAUAUAAAGUUGUGACAUUCGAUCCUGUGCCACUAUACAUCAUAUGUAUGAGACUUGGUCCCAGCAUACCUGGUGUUUAUGUUAGCGCCCGGGUUUUGGACCCCUAAAAUCCGGGUGUUACAGAAGUGGUAUCAGAGGAAUGUUGACUGUAGGACGAAACCUAGAUAGAACCGGACAACCAUUAUUUACUUACCUCUGCUACUCUGAUUCUUUUCUAAACUCUUCUUAAUCAUUUCUCAUCUAAUUCCGCUUUACUCUGAUUAUUCUUACCUUUUUCCUUCUAAAGACAAAUGUGGAUUUCACACCUUGAAAUCCUGUACCUAAAGUGACUUUAGGAAUAGGAGACCUACUCUUAGGAACAAAAACAAAACUAUUUUUGUAAAUAUUUAUAUGCUUGAAUGUUUGUUCUUAUGAUACUUGUCUGAUUUGGAUCUUUGAAUGAGUGUGAUGGGUUGUGGAGUAAUGCCCACAAUUACAUCUGCAUAUACGUAUGGACAUAAUUAGAAUUCAUAAGAAAACUAAGCAAUUUAGAUUAUCCUCCAUUAAAAUGUAUCUAUCUCAUAGAGAUCCCUCUAAUCUUAAAAGACUCUCCCAUAUCUUAAUAGAUUCAUCUCAUCUUAAGAAAUUCUAUCUCAUAGAUCUAUCUUCUCUCAAAAAGUCUUAACCUAAUGUAUAUAGAUCCAUCUUAUCGUAAGAGGUUUUCUCUUAUCUUAAUAGAUUCAUCUUAUCUUGAGGGAUUCAUCUUAUCCUAACCACUUUACUUAUCUCAUCCUAAUAGAUCUAACUGGUCUCAAAAGAUUCUAUCUUAUCUUUAUGGAUCCAUCUUGUCCUAAUAAGCAUACUUAUCCACCCUAGUUUAACAACCAUGAUCUAAUGCAAAUUAAUUAGAUCUUAUCUAGUCAAACAAGUCACACCAAUCUAACCUAGAUCUGAUCAAAUCUAAAGUGACUUAUCACACAUGUUAGAUAAUACUGAUGAAAUAGUUUAGACUCUACCCCUAUAGAACAGUUCUUAACUUAGUUCACCCUACACUAAAUAAAGAAUGAGAAACCAACCCAACCAAUAGAGUCUUGAUGGAUUGCAUGACCUGCCUAUCCCCACCUAACAUCAAACAAACUUUUGACCUACAUCAUGUAGUCUAUCUCAUCCAUACCUAUACUAACCAUAUUCCCCAGUCCAAUAAUAUACACUAACUCCUAAUCAAUGAGACAAGACAAGGAAAGAUGAGCACCCGGGUUAUGGUCCCAUGAAUCAAUGAGACCAAGACUGGAGAAGAAGAUGAUCAACUUCAUCAAGUAAGGAUGAGCACCAACUCAAGUCUUCAAGGAUCAAAUGAGGCCACCAAGAUGAAUCAAGAUCCACAAAAUCUUGGAGGAAGUCUUUUCUUAUCCUACUCUUUCUUACCCAAACCUAUAUAUACCCUAAAGACAUCUUCUAUCUUACAUAAUAAAGUGGACAUACAUAUAAUACCCAUGCUCUCCUAAUCACUUACUAAUGAAAAAAAAGAGAGACUCUUGAUUUUGAACUAAUUAAGAAACUGAAAGCUAAAUUGCAAACCACUCUUCCUAUAUCCCUUUUCUUACAAAUCUCGGGGACGAGAUUAUUUUUAAGGGGGGUAGGAUUUGUAACACCCAAAUUCUGAAUUUGGAAUAGAAAAUAGAAAGUAAAAGAGAAGGGAAGAACUAAGAAAAAUCCUACAUAAAAUAAAAUAAAAUCAGAAUAAACAUCCUUCACACUUAUAAUAUUAAAUUAUACUAUUCAAACUGAGGACCAGUUAUUCACAAAAGUUUGAAUUUAAACUUGAACUCAAAUUGGAUUUGAAAAUG
rnacentral:lncRNA from 7 species